rnacentral:misc_RNA from 1 species
GAUGAAGAACGUAGCGAAAUGCGAUAAGUAAUGUGAAUUGCAGAAUCCCGUGAACCAUCGAGUCUUUGAACGCAAGUUGCGCCCGAAGCCAUCAGGUUGAGGGCACGUCUGCCUGGGCGUCACAUAUCGUUGCCCAAUGCCUAUUGCAGUGCAAUAGGAAUUUCUAGGGCGAAUGAUGGCUUCCCGUGAGCGUUGUUGCCUCGCGGUUGGUUGAAAAUCGAGUCCUUGGUAGGGUGUGCCAUGGUAGAUGGUGGUCGAGUUAGAACGAUACCGAUCAUGUGCAUGCUCCCCAAAAUAUGGCCUCUAUGACCCACACGCGUCUUUUGACGCUCAUGACGAGACCUCAGGUCAGGCGGGGCUACCCGCUGAAUUUAAGCAUAUCAAUAAGCGGAGGA